rnacentral:rRNA from 1 species
GACGUAGGGGGCGAGCGUUGUCCGGAAUUACUGGGCGUAAAGAGCACGUAGGCGGAGACUUAAGUCAGGUGUGAAAGACCGGGGCUCAACCCCGGGAUUGCAUUUGAAACUGGGUCCCUUGAGGGCAGGAGAGGAAAGCAGAAUUCCUGGUGUAGCGGUGAAAUGCGUAGAAAUCAGGAGGAAUACCAGUGGCGAAGGCGGCUUUCUGGACUGACCCUGACGCUGAGGUGCGAAAGCGUGGGUAGCAAACAGG